rnacentral:lncRNA from 1 species
UGAUUCCGCCUUUAAUUGUUAAUUGCAUGCUUAUUGAUGUUGCUUAAAUGAACUUGUUUUCACAAAAUCUUCCUUCAAAGAAAUCACAGAUUAAUAACUCUCCAAAAAAAGUUUAGGCUCAAGUCUCUUAGGGUUGUAGUGUUAGUUUAAGUUCCUUCCUUCAAGCAUGUUACUAAAACUGAAUUUUUUUUUCUUCUUUUGUGAUUACAUGUGAAUUCGUUAAUGACAACUACAACCAAGUGAUAGGAGCAUAUUUAUGUGACUUAGUUAGCUUGUUCUUGUGCAUUUAUGUGGUUAUUUCUUAGUUAAAUUAGUAUUUCAAGUCAUUUUCGUGUGUUUAUAGGACCAAAGGGCUAAAGUAUCAAGAAGGUGCAUUUUGGAGCAGUUUUGGGCAUGGAAUGAAUAUCAUAUGCUUGGAGCAAGGGAGUUGGAUGAAAUUGAAGACUAAAGAUGGCUAGGAAUCUGAUAAGGAGAUGAAGAAAUUAAAUUCAAACAAAGAAGAUAAGGAAUCAGUUCAAAAGAAGAAACAUUAUCCAAAAUCUUAUCCAACCUUAUUUUAUCCAAACCAAUCUUAUCUUAUCUUAUCCUAUCCUAAUCCUAUCAUGCCUUAAAUCUAGCUGCAAGGGGACCUAAAUAUCUAUUUCUAGAAGCUUUUUCUAGAAGUAUUCCCUUCUAGAAGUCCCAAAUAAACCACAAAACACAUUGUUUCUAGAAACCCUACAAAGGUGGCGCCUAUUCCCUUCUAGAACGCCUUGCCUUUCCUUGCAAUCCACUCUCAUUUCCCUCCAAUAUCUGCCGCACCCCUCUAUCCCUUUUCCCUGUUGGAUUCAGAUUUAUUAGGCCUUAUUCCUUGUGGAUUUGGGUUAUACAAAUCCUUCUAUGAAAUUAAUUGGGCCAAACCCUUUUCUUGGUGGAUUUAAACUCAAUGUUGCACCCUAGGGCCCUAAUACUUUUAAUGUGCUGAUUCAUAACCCUAAUCUGAUUCAUCCUAGGGUUUGUGCCGUGCCUAUAUAUACAUAUUUUCAGCCAUAAAUUCGUGAUCAUCCCUUUACCAUCAGAAACACAUUCAGCCGCACCCUUCAUUCACCAUUCUUGCGAUCCAUAAAAUUCCACACACAUUCAGCCGCAACCUUUCACCCUAAUCAGCCAUCAUUCAUCAUCCUAAACAAGAAUACAACAUCCACCACCCCCAAAACCACCAACCACACCUUAUGCCGUAGCAAGGAAGAAGGAUGAGAGCCCUUGGAUGUGCCAGCCAUUCGAAUUAGAGUUGUUGGAACGUUUUAGGUGUAGUCUUUCUUUUGUUUUCAAUGUUUAAAUUCAAUAAUCUUUGUUUUGUGAGUAUGAGGAACUAAACCCUCUUAGCUAGGAGGAAUUUCGAAACCAUGGCUAUAUUUGCAAUAUGAUUUGAUUACAUCCAGUUGUGAUUUCAUGAAUUGUGAAUUCAAUUUACUUAUCUGUUUGAAUUAAAACUUGUUUAUGUAUGUGAGUUGAGAGUGCACACUUAAUUUACAUGCAUAAAUCUGAUGCUAGGAUAUAAGGGAGUUUCACCUAAUCGUUAUGAACUUAUAUUAAUAAGUAGUAAAGGUUGUUAGUCACAAUCAUGUUAAGUAAAUUCCUGGCAUAAGUAUCAUGUGCUUUCAUAGUUACGAAUUGAAGGGAAAAAUUAUGAGUUUUCACAUAUAGGGAUUUCAAAAUGACUAUCAUGCAUAUACAAAUCAAAUUUAAUAUACGAAAGCAGCGGAAGCAUUUAUAACAAAUUAUCA